rnacentral:lncRNA from 1 species
AUGGCCUCUCUUUAUAUGGCAUGAAGGCAAUCAAUAUGGGGCCUGUUGGAAUGAUAUGUGCCAGCUGGGAUUUCUGCCUCAUCACACUGCCAGAGAGAAGAGUGUGAAGCCCGCUUGGAGAAGAGGAGGAGGCUGAAAAGAAGGCAAAGAGUGAAGAUAGAGAAACAAGAUGGAAGUGGGGGAGAAAAACAGGGAUGAGAGAAUGCCAUGGUGGUGCUGAGAAGGAAAGGAGAGACUUUUCUGCUUGUAAAGGGCAGAAGAUGGCAGAAUCCAGUGACGCAGGGGCAUCUGGCUCCAGAAAUAAUAGGUCACUUGGCACCCACUUCUUCAAAACAGAGCAGGAGAAGAUCAGAGAAAUCUGCUACAAAACCAAGGAGGUGAGGGAGAAGAGGACCAAAUACUGACCUAGCACAUGCUCAC